GACGAACGCUGGCGGCGUGCUUAACACAUGCCAGUCGAACGGGUCUGCCCUGUUUUUUGCGGGGUGGGUCAGUGGCGAACGGGUGAGUAACACGUGAGUAACCUGCCCCUCACUUCUGGAUAACCGCUUGAAAGGGUGGCUAAUACGGGGUGUUCUGGCUGUGCCGCAUGGUGUGGCUGGGAAAGAUUCACUUUUGUGGUGUUUUGGUGGGGGAUGGGCUCGCGGCCUAUCAGCUUGUUGGUGGGGUGAUGGCCUGCCAAGGCUUUGACGGGUAGCCGGCCUGAGAGGGUGGGCGGUCACACUGGGACUGAGAUACGGCCCAGACUCCUGCGGGAGGCAGCAGUGGGGGGUAUUGCACAAUGGGCGGAAGCCUGAUGCAGCGACGUCGCGUGAGGGAUGGAGGCCUUCGGGUUGUGAACCUCUUUCGCCGGUGAAGAAGGUCCUGCUCUUUGUGGUGGGGUUGACGGUAGCCGGGUUAUGAAGUGCCGGCUAACUACGUG
rnacentral:rRNA from 1 species